AGUGAACGCUGGCGGCAGGCCUAACACAUGCAAGUCGAACGGCAGCACAGAGGAGCUUGCUCCUUGGGUGGCGAGUGGCGGACGGGUGAGGAAUACAUCGGAAUCUGCCUAUUUGUGGGGGAUAACGUAGGGAAACUUACGCUAAUACCGCAUACGACCUACGGGUGAAAGCGGAGGACCUUCGGGCUUCGCGCAGAUAGAUGAGCCGAUGUCGGAUUAGCUAGUUGGCGGGGUAAAGGCCCACCAAGGCGACGAUCCGUAGCUGGUCUGAGAGGAUGAUCAGCCACACUGGAACUGAGACACGGUCCAGACUCCUACGGGAGGCAGCAGUGGGGAAUAUUGGACAAUGGGCGCAAGCCUGAUCCAGCCAUGCCGCGUGGGUGAAGAAGGCCUUCGGGUUGUAAAGCCCUUUUGUACGGAGCGAAAAGGCUCUCUCUAAUACAGGGGGCUCAUGACGGUACCGUAAGAAUAAGCACCGGCUAACUACGUGCCAGCCGCCGCCGUAACAC
rnacentral:rRNA from 1 species